CCUACGGGUGGCAGCAGUAGGGAAUAUUGCUCAAUGGGGGAAACCCUGAAGCAGCAACGCCGCGUGGAGGAUGAAGGUUUUAGGAUUGUAAACUUCUUUUGUUAGAGAAGAUUAUGACGGUAUCUAACGAAUAAGCACCGGCUAACUCCGUGCCAGCAGCCGCGGCAAUACGGAGGCUGCAAGCGUUAUUCGGAAUCACUGGGCGUAAAGAGUGCGUAGGCGGGGUAAUAAGUCAGAUGUGAAAUCCUGUAGCUUAACUACAGAACUGCAUUUGAAACUGUUACACUGGAGUGUAGGAGAGGUAGGUGGAAUGCUUGGUGUAGGGGUGAAAUGCGUAGAGAUCAAGAAGAAUACUGAUUGCGAAGGCGGCCUGCUGGAACAUAACUGACGCUGAGGCACGAAAGCGUGGGGAGCAAACAGGAUUAGAUACCCGUGUAGUC
rnacentral:rRNA from 1 species